AGAGUUUGAUCCUGGCUCAGGACGAACGCUGGCGGCGUGCUUAACACAUGCAAGUCUACGAGAAAGUGUCUUUCGGGAUGCGAGUAAAGUGGCGCACGGGUGAGUAACACGUAAGCAAUCUACCCUUAGGCCUGGGAUAACCCCGAGAAAUCGGGGCUAAUACCGGAUGAUGCAGCGGCACCGCAUGGUGAUGUUGUUAAAGUCUAUAUGGCGUCUAGGGAUGAGCUUGCGUCUGAUUAGCUUGUUGGUGAGGUAACGGCUCACCAAGGCUGCGAUCAGUAGCUGGUCUGAGAGGAUGAUCAGCCACACUGGAACUGAGACACGGUCCAGACUCCUACGGGAGGCAGCAGUGAGGAAUAUUGGGCAAUGGGCGAAAGCCUGACCCAGCAACGCCGCGUGGAGGAUGAAUGUCGUAAGAUUGUAAACUCCUGUUAGAGGGGAAGAAUAAUUCCGAUCGAAUCGGAACUUGACUGUACCCUCAGAGAAAGCUCCGGCUAACUACGUGCCAGCAGCCGCGGUAAUACGUAGGGAGCAAGCGUUGUCCGGAUUUACUGGGUGUAAAGGGCGCGCAGGCGGGUCAGUAAGUCAGAGGUGAAAUCCUACAGCUCAACUGUAGAACUGCCUUUGAUACUGCUGAUCUUGAGUAUGG
rnacentral:rRNA from 1 species